CCUCGGGGCUGGGGUCGCGAAGACCUGGGCGCGCGCCUCAGCCUAGUGUGCCGAGUGCCGCCGUCGGCGGGGACCCUGGGAGGCCCUGGUGCUCUUAGCCACUCCGAACUCGGCUUCCAGAGGGAGCUAACUCUGAAACCAGCAUCUCUUCUCCCCCAUUGCCUCCCGCUCCGAGUGAGCUAUUUCUCGCACCUUCUGCACGUGGAUCUCAACACCUGGGCGCUGGGAAAGGAGGUCGACUGCUUUAGAACUCCCCCUUGGAGCGGCCCAGCUCAGACCAAGGAACAGAAAAGAAGUUUAGUAAGUGGUUCCUAUGGAGACACUGAUGCUUGAUAUACCCAGUUACCUCCGUGUUCAAUUACUGAUGGUCUGUCGCAACUUGACAGAACUGAGAGGGGGUAACAUGCCAAGGAGCCAUGUAGGAGCCCAUUUGGAAGAGGACAAAACCCCAGUCUGCUCAGGAGCCUGAGCCACUCCCUCAAGCCAAAGAUCAGAAACAAAGCAGAUUUGGGAGGCUACAAUCAAGGUCAUUUGAGAAGUAAGACCCGGUGUCUUACCAUUACCUAUGGGUGUCCACAUAGAAAUUUAUAGACAUGGGAAAGGCUAGAUAAUGAGAAUGCUCCGUAAAGAGGCACCGUACUUCACCAGGGAGAAAUGCAUCCAAGUUUCUUCACAAAUGUUAAGAAAUAUGCCUAUUUAAUUGUAUGUUGCAUUUUCCAUGGUCUUUGCUUUAUUCAUUUCAUGUGCAGUGAUUAAAAAGAUAUAUUGUACAUUUUAUUAUCUCUUAUGUUUUCCAAUAAAUACAAACCUGACGUAC